CAGUAGCCACGGUAAUACGUAGGUCCCGAGCGUUGUCCGGAUUUAUUGGGCGUAAAGCGAGCGCAGGCGGUUUGAUAAGUCUGAAGUUAAAGGCUGUGGCUCAACCAUAGUUCGCUUUGGAAACUGUCAAACUUGAGUGCAGAAGGGGAGAGUGGAAUUCCAUGUGUAGCGGUGAAAUGCGUAGAUAUAUGGAGGAACACCGGUGGCGAAAGCGGCUCUCUGGUCUGUAACUGACGCUGAGGCUCGAAAGCGUGGGGAGCGAACAGGAUUAGAUACCCCAGUAGUCCCUGUCUCUUAUACA
rnacentral:rRNA from 1 species